UAGUUUGACUGCUACCUCCGAAGAAGCAUUUACAAGAAGAAGUUUGAGCUGACGUAUGUGGGACCUAGCCAGGUGAUUGUGAAGAACCUGUCAUCGGGAACCCGAGUGGUGCUCAAGUCCCACUAUGGCUAUGAGGUGGAAGAGGUGAAAAUCCUGGGAAAGGAGCGUUACUUGGUGGCCCACAUGUCAGACACACUGCUGCCGGGGGACCUGAAUACUAAUCGCCUUAAUGAGAAUGCUGUGAAGGAGGCCAUGGGCAUGUAUCAGCAGCUACACCAUUGGGAUGAGUGUAUCGUUGUGGCUGUAGCCAAGGGGCACCUAGCCCUGGAGAAUCUACGCCGGAGUUGUUACCAGUGGCUGAUGGACACACAGCGGAAGGAGCGAGCAGGUGAACUACAGGAGAGCCAAGGGGAUGGGCUAGCAGCCAUCAGCCUCUACCUCAAAGCUGGGCUCCCUGCCAAAGCUGCUCAGCUGGUGCUGUCCCGAGAGGAACUGCUAGCCAACACAGAGCUGGUAGAACACAUCACUGCAGCCCUUAUCAAGGGGAACUCUACGAAAGGGCAGGUGAUUUCUUUGAGAAGACUCACAAUCCACAGCAGGCCCUGGAGUGCUACCGUAAAGGGAACGCAUUCAUGAAAGGUACUAGCCACCUAUAAGCCAUCCUUUACUGUUAUGGACCCUUGCCCAUCCGUCUCCCCAACACUUCUUGGUGCGUGUGUUCAGGUUGCCUGGCUCCAGUUCUGCUUUCCUCCCCUCUUACCUCCCCUUCUCACUCCAUGCUUCAUCUCCCUGUCCUACCUUUUUCCUGAGGUCCAUCCAUGGAAGUCUGGGCUGAGCACCUUUUCUCUCCCUGGCAGCGGUAGAGCUGGCUCGAUUGGCCUUCCCAGUGGAGGUGGUGAAACUAGAGGAGGCAUGGGGGGACCACCUGGUGCAGCAGAAGCAGCUUGAUGCAGCCAUUAAUCACUACAUCGAAGCCAGGUAUGGGAGUA
rnacentral:lncRNA from 1 species